AUUGAACGCUGGCGGCAUGCCUUACACAUGCAAGUCGAACGGCAGCACGGGUGCUUGCACCUGGUGGCGAGUGGCGAACGGGUGAGUAAUAUAUCGGAACGUACCUUAUCGUGGGGGAUAAUGCAGCGAAAGCUGUGCUAAUACCGCAUAAGCACUAAGGGGGAAAGCAGGGGACCGUAAGGACUUGCGCGAUUAGAGCGGCCGAUACAUGAUGAGCUAGUUGGUGAGGUAAAGGCUCACCAAGGCAACGAUCAGUAGCUGGUCUGAUAGGACGAUCAGCAACACUGGGACUGAGACACGGCCCAGACUCCUACGGGAGGCAGCAGUGGGGAAUUUUGGACAAUGGGGGCAACCCUGAUCCAGCAAUGCCGCGUGAGUGAAGAAGGCCUUCGGGUUGUAAAGCUCUUUUGUCAGGGAAGAAACAGCAGCUCUAAUACAGUAUGCGAAUGACGGUACCUGAAGAAUAAGCACCGGCUGACUACGUGCCAGCAGCCGCCGUAA
rnacentral:rRNA from 1 species